rnacentral:rRNA from 1 species
AUACGAAGUCGGACCUGCCCAGUGAGUUUUAAACGGCCGCGGUACCCUGACCGUGCAAAGGUAGCAUAAUCAUUUGCCUUAUAAUUGAAGGCUGGAAUGAAUGGUUUGACAAGAAUACACCUGUCUCUUUAUAACUUUCUAGAACUUUAUCUUUGGAUGAAAAAGUCCAAAUAUAAUUAAAAGACAAGAAGACCCUAUCGAGCUUUAGAAGAAUUAAUGGAUUUGAUAACAAUCAAUAGAAAUAAAAGAAGAGCCAUUAAGUAUACUUUGGUUGGGGCAACCAAGGAGUAGACAAAGCCUCCUUUAAACUUUAAGUCAUACAUGUGUUGAUCCAAAAUUAUUGAUCAAAGGAAUUAGUUACCGUAGGGAUAACAGCAUUAUCUUUUUUGAGAGCCCAUAUCGAAAAAAAGGUUUGUGACCUCGAUGUUGGACCAGAAUAUCCUAAAGAUGCAGAAGUCUUUAAGGGUUGGUCUGUUCGACCAUUAAAAU